rnacentral:rRNA from 1 species
GAACGCUGGCGGCGUGCCUAACACAUGCAAGUCGAGCGGGGAUUGUAUUUAUAUAAUCCAAGCGGCGGACGGGUGAGUAACGCGUGGGGAAUCUGCCUUUACAGGGGGAUAACAACCGGAAACGGUUGCUAAUACCGCAUAAAGCAUAAGGUAUGCAUGUACCAUAUGUGAAAGGAGAAAUCCGGUAAAAGAGGAGCCCGCGUCCGAUUAGCUAGUAGGUGAGGUAAAGGCUUACCUAGGCGACGAUCGGUAGCCGAACUGAGAGGUUGAUCGGCCACAUUGGGACUGAGACACGGCCCAAACUCCUACGGGAGGCAGCAGUGGGGAAUAUUGCGCAAUGGGGGAAACCCUGACGCAGCAACGCCGCGUGAAGGAAGAAGGCUUUAGGGUUGUAAACUUCUUUGAUUAGGGACGAAAAAAAUGACGGUACCUAAAGAACAAGCCACGGCUAACUACGUGCCAGCAGCCGCGGUAAUACGUAGGUGGCAAGCGUUGACCGGAAUUACUGGGUGUAAAGGGCGUGUAGGCGGGGAUGCAAGUCAGAUAUGAAAUUCCGAGGCUUAACUUCGGAGCUGUAUCUGAAACUGUAUUUCUUGAGUGCUGGAGAGGAAAACGGAAUUCCUAGUGUAGCGGUGAAAUGCGUAGAUAUUAGGAAGAACACCAGUGGCGAAGGCGGUUUUCUGGACAGUAACUGACGCUGAGGCGCGAAAGCGUGGGGAGCGAACAGGAUUAGAUACCCUGGUAGUCCACGCCGUAAACGAUGGAUACUAGGUGUAGGGGGGUAGACCUUCUGUGCCGGAGUAAACACAAUAAGUAUCCCACCUGGGGAGUACGACCGCAAGGUUGAAACUCAAAGGAAUUGACGGGGGCCCGCACAAGCAGUGGAGUAUGUGGUUUAAUUCGAAGCAACGCGAAGAACCUUACCAGGGCUUGACAUACUAACGAAUAAUCUAGAGAUAGGUUAGACCUUCGGGACGUUAGAACAGGUGGUGCAUGGUUGUCGUCAGCUCGUGUCGUGAGAUGUUGGGUUAAGUCCCGCAACGAGCGCAACCCUUAUGGUUAGUUGCCAUCAUUAAGUUGGGAACUCUAGCCAGACUGCCGGUGACAAAUCGGAGGAAGGUGGGGAUGACGUCAAAUCAUCAUGCCCCUUAUGUCCUGGGCUACACACGUACUACAAUGGCUACUACAGAGGGAAGCGAACCCGCAAGGGGGAGCAAAUCCAAAAAAGUAGUCCCAGUUCGGAUUGUGGGCUGCAACUCGCCCACAUGAAGUUGGAAUUGCUAGUAAUGGCAGGUCAGCAUACUGCCGUGAUACGUUCCCGGGCAUUGUACACACCGCCCGUCACACCAUGAGAGUCGGCAACACCCGAAGUCAGUAGUUUAACCGAAAGGAGACGCUGCCGAAGGUGGGGUCGGUGAUUGGGGUGA